UGACAUCGAUGGUGUUCAAGAGAUGCGGCGUUAAUGUAUCGACCCAUCAUGCAUUGUUCCACAUUUCAAGUUCCUACGACCGGGACUUCCAGAGCGGGUGUAAGACCCAUAGAGAUGAGGAACCAGUGUAUGCUGAGCGAUGCAUUCUAGAGUCAGGUUGCUUGAGAGUGCAGCUUAAAGUCGGUGGUAAACUCCAUCCAAGACUAAAUACUACAGCGAGACCGAUAGCAAACAAGUACCGUGAGGGAAAGUUGCAAAGCACUUUGAAGAGAGAGUUCAAAAGUACGUGAAACCACUGGGAGGCAAACAGAUGGAACCACGAAGUGUGCGCCUCGGUCGAUUCAAUCAUCACUUUUGAUCAGUUGUAGUUAAUCAGGAUCUUUUCGGAGGUUGAUUUUCUACAAUUAUGAUUAAAGGUGUUGGUGCAUUUCGUGCCGAGGAUGCAAAGCCACGUUCAACUAGAGUUGGGACGGCUGUAAGAAAGAAUCCGAGAAAGGUGACCGUCAAGUGCUUGCAUUUGACGGCGUUAUAGUCUCGGGUUGGCACCGUCUUCUAACAUACUGGUUGAUGGAAAUUCUCCAUUUGGAGUUGAACCAUAUCUGCCUGUGAUUGUUAGUCGAUGUUGCGUAAUGUUCUUUGCGUAUCUUUCGAUGCGAAAAGACUUUGCAAAAAUGUCGGUUAAUGGUUGCUUGCGUGAUAUGGUGGAACUGUGGCGUGAGUAGGUCGGUCUCCAUCUGACCCGUCUUGAAACACGGACCAAGGAGCCUAUCAUAUACGCGAGUCGCUCGGUCUUGUUUAGGCCUGGGAGGCGUAAUGAAAGUAAAGUUACGAGGCUUCGGCUGCAGUAACGGCUCGCCCACUUUGUUUAUUGGCAAUAUGGCGAAGCUGGAGCGUAUACGAUGGUACCCGAAAGAUGGUGAACUAUGCCUGGGCAAGACGAAGCCAGAGGAAACUCUGGUGGAGGUCUGUAGCGAUUCUGACGUGCAAAUCGAUCGUCAGACCUGGGUAUAGGGGCGAAAGACUAAUCGAACCAUCUAGUAGCUGGUUCCCUCCGAAGUUUCCCUCAGGAUAGCAGGCAUUUAUUUAAUUAUGUGUGCAGUCUCAUCCGGUAAAGCUAAUGAUUAGAGGUCUUGGGGUUGAAACGACCUCAACCUAUUCUCAAACUUUAAAUGGGUGAGAUGGUUGACUUUCUUGAUUGAAGCCAACCAUUUGGAUGCAAAUGCCUAGUGGGCCAUUUUUGGUAAGCAGAACUGGCGCUGUGGGAUGAACCAAACGUCGAGAUAAGGCAUCAAAUGCGUACGCUCAUCAGACCCCAUGAAAGG
rnacentral:rRNA from 1 species